rnacentral:rRNA from 1 species
GACGAACGCUGGCAGCAUGCCUAACACAUGCAAGUCUAGGGGUAGCAAUACCACUGGCGCACGGGUGAGUAACACGUAGGUUAUCUGCCCCCAUCACAGACAUAACCCCGGGAAACCGGGGCUAAUAUCUGAUGAGGUCGCGAGAUCAAAGCUUCGGCGGAUGGGGAUGAGCCUGCGGCUGAUUAGCUAGUUGGUGAGGUAAUGGCUCACCAAGGCGACGAUCAGUAGCUGGUCUGAGAGGACGAACAGCCACACUGGAACUGAGACACGGUCCAGACUCCUACGGGAGGCAGCAGUGAGGAAUAUUGGUCAAUGGGAGCAAUCCUGAACCAGCAAUGCCGCGUGUGGGAUGACAGGGCUUCGCCUUGUAAACCACUGUCGGACGGGACGAAAGGAGGCCUCGGGCCUCUGGGACGGUACCGUCAAAGGAAGGGUCGGCUAACUACGUGCCAGCAGCCGCGGUAAU